AGGGCACCACCAGGAGUGGAGCCUGCGGCUUAAUUUGACUCAACACGGGGAAGCUCACCCGGCCCGGACACUGUAAGGAUGGACAGAUUAAAAGCUCUUUCUUGAUUCAGUGGGUGGUGGUGCAUGGCCGUUCUUAGUUGGUGGAGUGAUUUGUCUGGUUAAUUCCGAUAACGAACGAGACUCUGACCAGCUAAAUAGUACGUUGGUAUUGGCGCUCAGCAAUGGGUGUUCUCGCUGACGCUGACUUCUUAGAGGGAUUCGCAGUAUUCAGACUGCACGAAAUAGAGCAAUAACAGGUCUGUGAUGCCCUUAGAUGUCCGGGGCCGCACGCGCGCUACAAUGACAGCUUCAGAGAGUUUUGCAACCUGGUCCGAAAGGAUUGGGAAAUCUUGGCAUAGCUGUCUCCUCAGGGAUUGGGGUUUGUAACUGUCCCCCAUGAACGAGGAAUUCCCAGUAGGCGCACGUCAUCACCUUGCGCCGAUUACGUCCCUGCCCUUUGUACACACCACCCGUCGCUAC
rnacentral:rRNA from 1 species